UUCAAGCCCCAGUAUAGGGACACACACACACACACACACACACACACAGACACACACACACACACACACACCUCCACACACACACAACCAGGUUUUCUCCCAUUUUAAUCACCCAUUCAGAGUUUAUUUUUCUAAAGACUUUAUUGGUUUUCAAGUGUAAGUGUAUUCCUAAAAUGUCAGUGAUUACCUAGAAGUUGUACAGAUUUUUUUUUAAAUAAAAUAACUUUUUUUUAACUGUAACUACUAGCCACUUUUCCAUUAAAGGCAAAAUGGCAACA